rnacentral:rRNA from 1 species
GACGUAGGGGGCCAGCGUUGUUCGGAAUUACUGGGUGUAAAGGGUUCGUAGGCGGUGCGGCAAGUCGGGAGUGAAAUCUCUGGGCUUAACCCAGAGGCUGCUUCCGAAACUGCUGUGCUUGAGUGUGGGAGAGGCGCGUGGAAUUGCAGGUGUAGCGGUGAAAUGCGUAGAUAUCUGCAGGAACACCCGUGGCGAAAGCGGCGCGCUGGACCACUACUGACGUGAGGAACGAAAGCUAGGGGAGCAAACAGG